UUUACUCUAAACACCAAACAUCUACAAAUAGGAUGAACCAAUAAGGCUGCAGGUUAAACAGAGCCACAUGCACCUAGGGAUGCUCCGGCAUGCUUUGGCCAAAAAGUAGAAGAUAUUAGGUCCUGUAACACAUUUCCCCAAAGGAAGUAACAAUUGUUAUGAUCAGGAACGUUCCUGCUUAUAUUUCUAGCUGACCAGCGCUGUUUUCUUGCAAGAUACAGCAGUUCAUCCAAUUUCUCCCAGUUAUGUUUUUUUUUUCCCUCUCACUCUCCCCACCCUUUAACAGUCACCACCAAGCAUUCUCUGACCACUGAGCACACUCAGUCACCACUGGGCUGUUUUUUGAACCCUCCUUUCCCCAUUAGCAUUUGCUCCCGGAAAUACUUCUGUAAACCUUAGGGAUUCCCUGGACCUCCCCAGUACUCCUUCUUGGGCAUGGACUCUGUGGUUUUGGCUCUACAAGGAUCCAUAUCCAGCCAUUUAACAUGCUGUUAGCCAUUUACAGUAAAACCAACUAAACUCCUGUUUUGCCUUGUCCAUUGGUUUUCCAGAUGUCCCGGAUGCUAAAGUUGCUGUUCCAGUCGAAGCUCCAACUGAAGAAGUUCCUGCUCUUCCUAUCUUCAUUCCCCUGCCGGAAGAGAAGAAGAAGGAAAAAGUGGUCAAAAAGACAAUUGUAAAGAAAGUCACCAAAAAGGAGGUUCCUAAACCUCCAGAGGAGGUAGCACCUCCUAAAGGUACCAUCAGAAAAUUAAUUCUCUGUAUUCAUUCUUUGCACCAGCCAUUCUCAUCCCUUUUGUUUGUUUGUUUGUUUCUUUUUCUUUUUGGGCCAUGGCCAUAAACACAAUAGGAAAGAAAUAAAAGCCAAAUCAGGAUUGUAAAAAUCUCA
rnacentral:lncRNA from 1 species